rnacentral:rRNA from 1 species
GACGAACGCUGGCGGCGUGCCUAAUACAUGCAAGUUGAGCGCUGAAGGUUGGUACUUGUACCAACUGGAUGAGCAGCGAACGGGUGAGUAACGCGUGGGGAAUCUGCUUUUGAGCGGGGGACAACAUUUGGAAACGAAUGCUACUACCGCAUAAAAACUUUAAACACAAGUUUUAAGUUUGAAAGAUGCAAUUGCAUCACUUAAGGAUGAUCCCGCGUUGUUUUAGCUAGUUGGUGAGGUAAAGGCUCACCAAGGCGAUGAUACAUAGCCGACCUGAGAGGGUGAGCGGCCACAUUGAGACUGAGACACGGCCCAAACUCCUACGGGAGGCAGCAGUAGGGAAGCUUCGGCAAUGGACGAAAGUCUGACCGAGCAACGCCGCGUGAGUGAAGAAGGUUUUCGGAUCGUAAAACUCUGUUGGUAGAGAAGAACGUUGGUGAGAGUGGAAAGCUCAUCAAGUGACGGUAACUACCCAGAAAGGGACGGCUAACUACGUG